rnacentral:rRNA from 1 species
AUUUGGAAAGCUAGCAUUCCAUUAAAGAUUAAGAUUUUUAUGUGGCAGCUAUUCCAGGAUGAUAUCCUUACUCGGGAGGUGAUGAAAAAAAGAGGGUGGAAAGGAAACUUGAAGUGUUCAUUCUGUGGAGAGAAUGAGACAUCUCAGCAUCUCUUCUUUACCUGUCCUAUAGCUAGGGCGACAUGGAGAAGUGUUGCCUACAUGCUCGUCACUGAUCUAUGUCCGAACAGUUUAUGGCAGGCUUACUCCUGGUGUUAUGCUUACUUUCCAAAUGGGGAGAUUUUCUACAUAGUUGGCAUUGCUGCCUUGUGCUGGGCUAUUUGGACAUGUCGUAAUGGUGUUACGUUCGAAUCUAAACGUUUGCAAACACCUUUUGAAUGCUGCUUCUCUAUGUGUGCCUUUCUUGGUUACUGGGCAGGACUAUUGAAGCAAGAGGAUGCAGUGGACCUGCGAACUGGUGUGGACAUGCUGAAGAACAGUGCGUCAAGGCUAAUGCGCAUCUGCGCUGCGACUGAGGAUUGA